GGAAUAUUGGACAAUGGGGGAAACCCUGAUCCAGCAAUGCCGCGUGAAUGAAGAAGGCCUUCGGGUUGUAAAGCUCUUUCAAUAGGGAAGAUAAUGACGGUACCUAUAGAAGAAGCCCCGGCUAAAUCCGUGCCAGCAGCCGCGGUAAGACGGAUGGGGCUAGCGUUGUUCGGAAUUACUGGGCGUAAAGGGCGCGUAGGCGGCCAUUUAAGUUAGACGUGAAAGCCCUGGGCUUAACCUAGGAAUUGCGUUUAAUACUGGAUGGCUAGAGUACGGUAGAGGAAAGCGGAAUUCCUAGUGUAGAGGUGAAAUUCGUAGAUAUUAGGAGGUAUACCAGAGGCGAAGGCGGCUUUCUGGACCGAUACUGACGCUGAGGCGCGAAAGCGUGGGGAGCAAAC
rnacentral:rRNA from 1 species